CCUACGGGAGGCAGCAGUAGGGAAUUUUCGUCAAUGGGCGCAAGCCUGAACGAGCAAUGUCGCGUGAACGAGGAAGGUCUUCGGAUCGUAAAGUUCUGUUGAAGGGGAAAAAGAGCGGAGAGAGGAAAUGCUUUCUGAUUGAUAUUACCCUUCGAGGAAGUCACGGCUAACUACGUGCCAGCAGCCGCGGUAAUACGUAGGUGGCGAGCGUUAUCCGUAAUGAUGGGGCGUAAAGGGUGCGUAGGCGGCCUGCUAAGUCUGGAGUGAAAGGUACCGGCUCAACCGGUACAGGCUCUGGAAACUGGCGGGGUAGAGAGCAGGAGAGGGCGGUGGAACUCCAUGUGUAGCGGUAAAAUGCGUAGAUAUAUGGAAGAACCCCAGUGGCGAAGGCGGCCGCCUGGCCUGUUACUGACGCUGAGGCACGAAAGCGUGGGGAGCACAUAGGAUUAGAUACCCGAGUAGUC
rnacentral:rRNA from 1 species